rnacentral:sRNA from 1 species
CACUCCCUCCCAUGUGUGACGGGUUAGCACCCGUUAGUAAUUAACUUACGCAACCAACUCCCCUCCUGCACCUGCUUGUUCCUGGCUGUUGUGACCUUGUGUAACCCUCAAUGUUCUUCCACUCUGUGCUCUGCACUCAUGUAGUUUCUAAUGAUUCUUCUGUGUAGCUCUUAAUGUUCUUCCACUCUGUGCUCUGUGCUUGUGUAGUCUCUAAUGAUUCUUCCAUGUAGCUUCUUACAUUCUCCCACUCUGUGUUCUGUGCUUAUAUAGUCUCUAAUGAUUCUUCUGUGUAGCUUCUUAUGUUCUUCUGCUCUGUGUUCUGUGCUCAUGUAGUCUCUAAUGAUUCUUCCAUGUAGCUCUCAAUGAUUCCCCCACCCCAC